rnacentral:tRNA from 1 species
GAUAAUUAGUUUAAUAAAAACAAAUGAUUUCGACUCAUUAGAUUAUGUUUAUAACCAUAAUUAUCA